rnacentral:lncRNA from 1 species
UUACAUAUCUUAUACUUUUCGUAUUCUAAUUCUCUCUCCAUAUUUAAUAAGUAUAAUAAGUUACUCUCUCACCUACAUUAGAAAUGAUUAAUGAAAUAUUAUUAUGGGCAAUUUUAUCAUUUUAUUUCUCUUUCUUAAUAUGUGUAGAAAGUUCAUCAAGACUUUUAUCCUGGGACGGAGGGAGUACUAAUAUAUUGAGUGAGG